rnacentral:rRNA from 1 species
AUGGAGCCGACCUUGAAAUACCACCCUUUAAUGUUUGAUGUUCUAACGUUGACCCGUAAUCCGGGUUGCGGACAGUGUCUGGUGGGUAGUUUGACUGGGGCGGUCUCCUCCUAAAGAGUAACGGAGGAGCACGAAGGUUGGCUAAUCCUGGUCGGACAUCAGGAGGUUAGUGCAAUGGCAUAAGCCAGCUUGACUGCGAGCGUGACGGCGCGAGCAGGUGCGAAAGCAGGUCAUAGUGAUCCGGUGGUUCUGAAUGGAAGGGCCAUCGCUCAACGGAUAAAAGGUACUCCGGGGAUAACAGGCUGAUACCGCCCAAGAGUUCAUAUCGACGGCGGUGUUUGGCACCUCGAUGUCGGCUCAUCACAUCCUGGGGCUGAAGUAGGUCCCAAGGGUAUGGCUGUUCGCCAUUUAAAGUGGUACGCGAGCUGGGUUUAGAACGUCGUGAGACAGUUCGGUCCCUAUCUGCCGUGGGCGCUGGAGAACUGAGGGGGGCUGCUCCUAGUACGAGAGGACCGGAGUGGACGCAUCACUGGUGUUCGGGUUGUCAUGCCAAUGGCACUGCCCGGUAGCUAAAUGCGGAAGAGAUAAGUGCUGAAAGCAUCUAAGCACGAAACUUGCCCCGAGAUGAGUUCUCCCUGACUCCU